AUCAUACUCCAUCUGUCCCAUAUUAAGUGACUCAAAUUUGUUAAAAUAUGGAUGUAUCUAUGCUUUAAAAACGUCUAGAUACAUGUAAUAGAGAGUCACUUAAUAUGGGACGGAUGGAAUACUAA
rfam:Brachypodium distachyon strain Bd21 chromosome 3, whole genome shotgun sequence.